rnacentral:rRNA from 1 species
UACGAAGGGGGCUAGCGUUGCUCGGAAUCCCUGGGCGUAAAGCGCACGUAGGCGGAUUGCUAAGUCAGGGGUGAAAUCCUGGAGCUCAACUCCAGAACUGCCUUUGAUACUGGCAAUCUCGAGUCCGGGAGAGGUGAGUGGAACUGCGAGUGUAGAGGUGAAAUUCGUAGAUAUUCGCAAGAACACCAGUGGCGAAGGCGACUACCUGGCCUGUUUCUUGACGCUGAGGCGCGAAAGCUAGGGGAGCAAACGGG